rnacentral:rRNA from 1 species
UACGGAGGGAGCUAGCGUUGUUCGGAAUUACUGGGCGUAAAGCGCGCGUAGGCGGCUUUGUAAGUUAGAGGUAAAAAGCCCGGAGCUCAACUCCGGAACUGCCUUUAAAACUGCAUCGCUUGAAUCCAGGAGAGGUGAGUGGAAUUCCGAGUGUAGAGGUGAAAUUCGUAGAUAUUCGGAAGAACACCAGUGGCGAAGGCGGCUCACUGGACUGGUAUUGACGCUGAGGUGCGAAAGCGUGGGGAGCAAACAGG